rnacentral:rRNA from 1 species
GAUGAACGCUAGCGAUAGGCUUAACACAUGCAAGUCGAGGGGCAGCACGGGAUUAGCUUGCUAAUCUUGGUGGCGACCGGCGUAAGGGUGCGUAACGCGUAUGCAACUUGCCUGUCAGUGGGGAAUAACCCGGAGAAAUCCGGACUAAUACCGCAUACACUUUAGUUUCUGCAUGGGGACUUUAGGAAAGAUUUAUUGCUGACAGAUAGGCAUGCGUUCCAUUAGAUAGUUGGUGAGGUAACGGCUCACCAAGUCGACGAUGGAUAGGGGAGCUGAGAGGCUUAUCCCCCACACUGGAACUGAGACACGGUCCAGACUCCUACGGGAGGCAGCAGUGAGGAAUAUUGGUCAAUGGGCGAGAGCCUGAACCAGCCAAGUCGCGUGAAGGAAGACGGUCCUAUGGAUUGUAAACUUCUUUAGUAGGUGAGUACAAGCAGUUACGUGUAGCUGUAAGCAAGUAACCUAAGAAUAAGCAUCGGCUAACUCCGUGCCAGCAGCCGCGGUAAUACGGAGGAUACGAGCGUUAUCCGGAUUUAUUGGGUUUAAAGGGUGCGUAGGUGGCUUUAUAAGUCAGUGGUGAAAAGCUGUGGCUCAACCAUAGUCUUGCCGUUGAAACUGUGGAGCUUGAGUGCGGAUGAAGUAGGCGGAACGCGUAGUGUAGCGGUGAAAUGCAUAGAUAUUACGCAGAACUCCGAUUGCGAAGGCAGCUUACCAACCGCAACUGACACUGAAGCACGAAAGCGUGGGUAUCAAACAGGGAUAGAUACCCUGGUAGUCCACGCCAUAAACGAUGAUUACUCCGGAUAUGCGAAAUAUGGGAUGCUCCCAGGGGAAACCAAUAAUUAUUCCCCCUGGGGAGUACGCCGGGCAACGGUGAAACUCCAAGGAAUAGAGGGGGUGCCGGCCCAAGGGGAGGAACAUGUGGUUUAAUUGGAUGAUACGCGAGGAACCUUACCCGGGAUUGAAAUGUACAUGACGGUUGGGGGAGAGCCUGACUUCCCUUCGGGGCAUGUAUGUAGGUGCUGCAUGGUUGUCGUCAGCUCCUACCGUGAGGUGUCGGCUUAAGUACCAUAACGAGCGCAACCCACAUCGUCAGUUACUAGCAGGUAGAGCUGAGGACUCUGACGAGACUGCCGUCGUAAGCCGCGAGGAAGGUGUGGAGGACGUCAAAUCACCACGGCCCUCACAUCCGGGGGGCCACACGUGUUCCAAUGGUAGGGACAAAGGGCAGCUACCUGGCGACAGGAUGCGAAUCUCCAAACCCUAUCUCAGUUCGGAUCGGAGUGUGCAACUCGACUCCGUGAAGCGGGAUUCGCUAGUAAUCGCGCAUCAGCCCUGGCGCGGUGAAUACGUUCCCGGGCUU